UACGUAGGAUGCAAGCGUUAUCCGGAUUCAUUGGGUUUAAAGGGAGCGUAGGCGGGCUUAUAAGUCAGUGGUGAAAUCUCCUUGCUUAACAAGGAAACUGCCAUUGAUACUGUAGGUCUAGAGUACAUUUGCUGUGGGCGGAAUAUGACAUGUAGUGGUGAAAUACUUAGAUAUGUCAUAGAACACCGAUUGCGAAGGCAGCUCACAAAAAUGUAACUGACGCUGAGGCUCGAAAGUGCGGGGAUCAAACAGG
rnacentral:rRNA from 1 species